rnacentral:rRNA from 1 species
CACUUNGCUCNNUGAUGUUUUCGGCGGACGGGUGAGUAACACGUGGGUAACCUGCCUGGAAGAAUGGGAUAACUCCGGGAAACCGGGGCUAAUACCGGAUGGUUGUUUGAACCGCAUGGUUCACACUUAAAUGGUGGCUUCGGCUACCCCUUACCGAUGGACCCGCGGCGCAUUAACUACUUGGUGAGGUAACGGCUCACCGACGCGACGAUGCGUAUCCGACCGGAGAGGGUGAUCGGGCACACUGGGACUGAGACACGGCCCAGACUCCUACGGGAGGCAGCAGUAUGGAAUCUUCCGCAAUGGACGAAAGUCUGACGGAUCACCGCCGCGUGAGUGAUGAAAGUUUUCGGAUCGUAGAGCUCUGUUGUUAGGGAAGAACAGGUGCCGUUCAAAUAGGGCGGCACCUUGACGGUACCUAACCAAAAAGCCGCGGCUAACUACGUGCCUUCAUCCGCGGUAAUACCUAGGUGGCAAGCGUUGUCCGGAAUUAUUGGGCGGAAAGGGCUCGCAGGCGGUUUCUUAANUCUGAUGUGAAAGCCCCCGGCUCAACCGGGGAGGGUCAUUGGACAGUGGGGAUCAUGAGUGCAGAUGAGGAGAGUGGAAUUCCUCGUGUAGCGGUGCAAUGCGUAGAGAUGCGGAGGAACACCAGUGGUCGAAGGCGUCUCUAUGCUCUGUAACUGACCAUGAGGAGUGAAAGUGUGGGGAGCGAACAGGAUUAGAUACCAGUGUUAGUCCACGCUGUAAACGAUGACCGGGGGGUUUUAGGGGGUUUCCGCCCAUUAGCGUGGCAGCUAACGCAUUAAGCACUCUCCGUGGGGAGUACGGUACCAAGAUUGAAACUCAAAGGAAGGCACGGGGUUCCGCACAAGCGUUGGAGCAGGUGGUUUAAUUGGAAGCAACGCGAAGAACGGCACCAGGUCUUGCCAUCCUACGGCAAUCUUAGAUAUAGGAACUCCCAUUAGGGGGCAGAGGGACAGGUGUCGCAUGGUUGUCCUCAGCUGAAGUUUCGAGAUGUUGGCUUAAGUCCGGCAUCGAGCGCAACCCUCGAUCCCAGUUGCCAGCAUUCACCUGGCCACUCUAAGGUGAAUGCCGGCGACAAACCGGAGGAACCUGGGGAAGAAGUCAAAUCAUCAUGCCCCCUUUGACAAGGGGUACACACGUGCUCCAAUGGACUGAACAACGGGCAGCGAAACCGCGAGGUUAAUCCAACCCACAAUUCUUUAUCAUUUGGGAUCGCCGUGCCAACUCGCUGCGGAAGCGGAAUCGCUGAAUCGCGCUCAGCAGCNNAGNGNNNUUUUGUUUU